rnacentral:rRNA from 1 species
CAGAGGGUGCAAGCGUUAAUCGGAAUUACUGGGCGUAAAGCGCGCGUAGGUGGUUCGUUAAGUUGGAUGUGAAAUCCCCGGGCUCAACCUGGGAACUGCAUUCAAAACUGACGAGCUAGAGUAUGGUAGAGGGUGGUGGAAUUUCCUGUGUAGCGGUGAAAUGCGUAGAUAUAGGAAGGAACACCAGUGGCGAAGGCGACCACCUGGACUGAUACUGACACUGAGGUGCGAAAGCGUGGGGAGCAAACAGG